rnacentral:rRNA from 1 species
GACGUAGGGCGCGAGCGUUGUCCGGAUUUAUUGGGCGUAAGGGUGCGUAGGCGGUCUGACAAGUCUGACUGUGAAAAUCUAUGGGCUCAACCCAUAGUCUGCAUCGGAAACUGUCGGGCUUGAGUAUGGGAGAGGUGAGUGGAAUUUCCGGUGUAGCGGUGAAAUGCGUAGAUAUCGGAAGGAACACCUGUGGCGAAAGCGGACUCACUGGACCAUUACUGACGCUGAGGCACGGAAAGC